rnacentral:rRNA from 1 species
CCCUUAGAUGUUCGGAGCUGCACGCGCGCUACACUGAAGGAAGCAGCGUGUUAGAGUACCUGGUUUGUAAAAACUGGGUAAUCCGGUGAAUGUCCUUCGUGAUUGGGAUAGGCACUUGUAAUUAUUUGCCUUGAACGAGGAAUACCUAGUAAGUGCGAGUCAUCAGCUUGCGCUGACUACGUCCCUGCCCCUUGUACACACCGCCCGUCGCUCCUACCGAUCGAAGAGUUAGGUGAAUUGUUUUGAUCGAUAAGAUUUGACUAUGGUCAACUCUCGUUGUGAAAUUCUGUGAAUCUGACUGUUUAGAGGAAGGAAAAGUCGUAACA